rnacentral:rRNA from 1 species
UACGGAGGGGGCUAGCGUUGUUCGGAAUUACUGGGCGUAAAGCGCACGUAGGCGGCUUUGCAAGUUAGAGGUGAAAGCCCAGGGCUUAACCCUGAAAUUGCCUUUAAAACUGCAUCGCUAGAAUUGUGGAGAGGUAAGUGGAAUUCCGAGUGUAGAGGUGAAAUUCGUAGAUAUUCGGAAGAACACCAGUGGCGAAGGCGACUUACUGGACACAUAUUGACGCUGAGGUGCGAAAGCGUGGGGAGCAAACAGG